GAUGAACGCUGGCGGCAUGCCUAAUACAUGCAAGUCGAGCGAAAAGACGAGGAGCUUGCCCCUCUGACGUUAGCGGCGGGCGGAUUAGUAACACAUGGAUCACCUCCCUAUAAGACUGGGAUAACAACGGGAACCCGGAGCUAAUACCGGAUAAUAUAUAGAACCGCAUGGUUCAAUAGUGAAAGACGGUUUUGCGGUCACUUAUAGAUGGAUCCGCGGCUCAUUAGCUAGUUGGUAAGGUAACGGCUUACCAAGGCAACGAUGCGUAGCCGACCUGAGAGGGUGACCGGCCACACUGGAACUGAGACACGGCCCAGACUCCUACGGGAGGCAGCAGUAGGGAAUUUUCGGCAAUGGGCGAAAGCCUGAUGGAGCAACGCCGCGUGAGUGAUGAAGGUCUUCGGAUCGUAAACCGCUGUUGUUAGGGAAGAACAGAUGUGGAGUAAACCAUGCGGGUCAUGACGGUACCGAAAGAGAAAGCACCGGCUAACUACGUG
rnacentral:rRNA from 1 species